rnacentral:rRNA from 1 species
UACGAAGGGGGCUAGCGUUGUUCGGAAUUACUGGGCGUAAAGCGUGCGCAGGCGGCUUCUCAAGUCAGGGGUGAAAGCCCAGAGCUCAACUCUGGAACUGCCUUUGAGACUGAGAGGCUUGAGUACGGGAGAGGUGAGUGGAAUUCCCAGCGUAGAGGUGAAAUUCGUAGAUAUUGGGAAGAACACCGGUGGCGAAGGCGGCUCACUGGCCCGUAACUGACGCUCAUGCACGACAGCGUGGGGAUCAAACAGG